CACGUAUUUUUCCAAAUUUUCCUUUCUAUAUUCUUCACCACAUAGCGCCAUCUUCACUCGGAGCCGUGGGCGCUGGAGAGACGCUUGUGGCGCUCGCGUCAGUAUUCAGUCAGCAAUCGUCUUGCGAGUUAGAGUGUUCUCUGAUCUGUGUCUAUCUUGUGUCAGCUAAUUUGAGCAGCCACAAUUCUCCGCGUCACGAAUUCGCGAAUAACGGCAGUAAACGCUAAUUGACAGCCCCCAAACACCCGUUGACUGAUACGUCGCAGGCCACAUCGAGCGAAAGGCAACAGAAGGCCGGCUCGAUCGACCGCUCUCUAUCUGUCUUUCUCGUGCUCACUCGUGACGCCGACUGUGAUCGACUCCAGCGUAGCGCACGCACACGCACGUAUACACAUCGAACUGCAGCAGAAUCGCUCCGAAACAGGAGACCCGUCUGUAAUCCCGACUCGAGCUGCAGGCAGCCGUGCGCGGCCGUUGGAUUUUCACGCUAUAAGGCGGCCGUCCAGCAGGGCGAUACCAUUUUAUAUGACUUUACUUCGACGACGACGAGCAACCAGCCAUUUUGGAUACACGACACGAUGGUAUGCAUGCGAGGCAGGCGAGACGGGUGAAGUGAGAUGGGCGGGGCGGGACGUCCCAUCGUGCCUGCGGAAAUGAACGUGUUCCUCUCUCGCUCUCUUUCUUCGUUCAGCGACGUCGACGACAAUGUCUCGCGUGUGUCGCGAUGCGUCACCACUGUGCGUUGCAAAUGCUCUCGUUGCCGGUCAAUGUUGACUCGGUAAUCGACAGACAUGGUCCCCUAGGUCGUACGUUGUCUCUCUCUCGCGUAUAUUUCCUGUUUUUUUUAUCUUCCUCCUUCAUAUUGAUACCGGUACUGAUUGGUACCGGUACUAUACGAGCGACGUAUCUUGGAAUAUAAGAAUAAAAAAAUAAUUAACGUGUAAACAUAUGUCGAAAUGAUAUAUGUGACGACGUUUCAACUGCGUCGAUUAACUUUCUCAGAAGUAAAAUUUAUUAAAAUCAGAAAAGAGAAUGAUUUAUAUGAUCGAAUAGAAAUUGAAAAAGUCCAAACCGGAGAAUGAUUUAAUUUUAAAGUGACAAAUAUGACAUCUGUAAAUCAUGGAACCAUGGAAAAUCAUUUCUCUUCCCUUCUAUGACAUCUUGCGGCUUCGCAACAGUUCAUUAGAAUUUUGUCGACAGUUUUUUAUUUGAAUUGAAACAGGACAUUUGAACGUACAUACACGUGUUGGUAUUCCUGAAAAGAUUAACCGACAUUUUAGUGAUUGAGAGCGGAAUUUACAGAUUUCUCGACUGCGAUAUGUUUGCGAAUUCUAAUCGUGCGUAACAAAAUCUUACUAGCUAUUCAAACUAUUCCAACAGGUAUCGUGACUAAUGUAUUCGCAAUAAUGGAAACAGCUUAGAACGAUCCGAAACUUGAUAGCCACAGCUCAGAGCCGCUGUUUCCAUUGAAAUAUGAAGCGACAAUUGUGAUAAACUGAUCGCUGACCGAGGGCGACCGUUAUAUGUAUAAACAUCUAUACAAACGACUUACAUAGUCGUUUUUUAUUAUUUUUGCGUGAAAAGCAUUUUUCGUAACUGAUUUUGGUAGCGAUGUUUACAGAAUAAGUCCGAUGUUUAUACGAGAGUUGCACAUAUAGCUUAAAAUUCGUGUGACUUCAAUUUAUACAUUUUAAUCGCAUUAUUCGAUCGUGUCACGUUUACGAAAGAAUCGGCGAGUCUCGCAUAUCACAAUUUCUCAUCUUAAGAUUGAAUUGAAUUUUGCUCUUUAUAUCUGUUCUUUUUCGAAGAACUUUUGAAUUAGUGCACAUUAGUACAAUAAGUUCGAAUGAAAGAAAAUAUAUUUGUUUCACUCCAAUUUAUUUAGUUUAGAAGUCCUUUGAAAAAGAAUCUUUUGCAAAUACUCUGCAUUAUCUUAUAUUUUCCUUUUUCAUUGUUUUAUCAUAUAUCAAAUAUGCAUCUACUUCAUUUCAGAUCCAUCCUUUUCUAUUGAAUUGAGUUGUAUUCUUUACCAUUGGAAUGAAACUAAUAUGCUUCAAAAAGAAUGAAGUUCCAAUGCAGCACUAAGCUAAAAGCAAUAAGCUUUUUAAAGUGCAAUAAUAAUGCAAGUUGUCGUAUACCUAUAAGGGAUGGGUCUUUUAAGCCCAGUCUGCAAUAGGAUUAGGACCUCGGACAGCAGCGAGAGACGCUUUUAGGCGAAAAUUAAAUCACAAUUUUGAACUGGAAAAUUAAAUCACAAUUUUUAUUUGGAAUAUAAAGUCAGAGGCUUACUAGUACAUUUACUGGUAAUCGGAAUUUCAUCUUGAAAUGACACACGACUGAGGGACGAUGAUGAAUAUAAUUUAGCAACUUGUGCGUAUAGACUCGAAAAGUCGAAGCAUGAGAGACAGGGAGAGGAGGGGUUCUAGCAACGUAAAGUAUCAAAGUCACGUGAUUCGACGAGAAGUUGAGAAAUUUCUGAGAACAUUUUUAUCCUCUAACGAUUUUGUUCUCGUAAUGUACUUGUCAUCGAUCAUUUGUUUAUCUUACGUCAUGUUUUCAGCUACUGAAAAUUAUACUCAGAGAAGCAUACACUUUUCGAAGAAUCCUAAGAUAACUGAAGGAUCGACGAAAAUUCGCAACACGCUCGUGGGGAAUCAUCUUGAAAGAGUUGGAUCCGAGAUCGUAUAUUCUGGAUGUAUAUAGCAAACGCUAAAUAUGUCUUUUUCUCGUCUUCAAUACUUUGACAAUCUCUGUCAUGUAUAUGUGACUUCAGUCUGCCAGCAAUUAUCGUCUUAAAAAAAACAUUUCGCGGUGAAAAAGAUUGGCCGACAGGAGCCAUUUGCUUAUCGGGUAAGAUAAUCUAAUUUAACAGCGGCAGGACAAAUUAUUAAAUUAUUGUAUCCAUACACCAUAGGUAAUGAAUGGCUCUUGUUAAUUUACCAUUCCGAAUAUGAUAAACUUUGGAACAUUCGAAGUAUAUGGGAAGAAAACAUUUGUUGAUAUUAAAAUUCUGUUUUGAUCAAAAACGUAAAUAAGCCCAAUUUAGGUACAAAAUUCCCGCCGGCUGUAGGCAACAAUCUUCCCACCACACCAAUGCGACCGUCCAAGUGUCAAACAACCUUAUACAUGACACUCAUGUAAGAAACCUGGAACUUGGAAUUAGAAAGCCUUUAGCGUUCGCUUCGCGUCCAGAAUAAGGCCCCGAGAUAGUAGUUUCUUUCGCGAGGAAAGUUGCAGCGCGCAUAUGCCCAGUCUAAUCAGUAGCUGAAAAGUUAUAUUUUCUUUUUCUUCUUCGACGAAUUCCGUAACAUAUUUGUGUCCAAUAGAAGAAGAGAAGAAUGUUUCUCAGUAAUCAUUGGGAGAUAAAUUUUCCUCUUGAAUAUUGGAUGGCAUUCCGAGGUUCGCCAAGAUAAAAGUACCACGACCGUCACAUGCGAACUGACACGGUCUGUAACGUUGAACUUCACUUGCAUGUAUUCUCGCGACGAUAAAAAAGAUCUCGAACACGUCAUUUGCAUAUUAUGCAAAUUACGAACAGUUGCGUCAUCUAAUGGUAAAUGAUUGCUCCAAUACACAGCUCGAUGACAGUUACAUGUAUGUCGACGAAAUUGUAUUGCAUGGAGAAUCUGAAGAGUCGAUUGGAUCACAUUGAAUUAUCAUGUCGUGCGUGUUUUCCUCGAAACUGUAUUUGCAACAGCAAACUUUCGAUGGUAAUUCGCGCCGACUGGUCGAUAUACGCCGCGAUUAAAUUGCGCAAUAUAAAUAGCAUUUGGGCAGAUAGUUCGCCAAUGAAAUCUUUGUCUACAUGUGUCUUCGCGACUUUUCUAACCGUUGUGUUUUUUGAUCGAGGUAUAUCGUGCGGCGUAUUGAUCCACAAUAAUUGUCGCGACCGUCGGAUGUAAAUACUUUCUCGUGUUUCUGUUUUACAGACCGAUGUAACUGAAACUUUCGCGAUCGCGAUAUCAUUGUACGAUC